GAUGAACGCUAGCUACAGGCUUAACACAUGCAAGUCGAGGGGCAGCGGUAUCGAAAGCUUGCUUUCGGUAGCCGGCGACCGGCGCACGGGUGAGUAACGCGUAUCGAACCUGCCUCAUACUCGGGAAUAGCCUUGCGAAAGUAAGAUUAAUGCCCGGUGUUUUCAGAGACCCGCAUGAGGCUUUGAACAAAGAUUUAUCGGUAUGAGAUGGCGAUGCGUCCCAUUAGCUUGUUGGCGGGGUAACGGCCCACCAAGGCAUCGAUGGGUAGGGGUUCUGAGAGGAAGGUCCCCCACAUUGGAACUGAGACACGGUCCAAACUCCUACGGGAGGCAGCAGUGAGGAAUAUUGGUCAAUGUGCGGAAGCCUGAACCAGCCAAGUAGCGUGCAGGAAGACGGCCCUUCGGGUUGUAAACUGCUUUUAGUUGGGAAUAAAACGGGGCUCGUGAGCCCCCUUGCAUGUACCAUCAGAAAAAGGACCGGCUAGUUCCGUG
rnacentral:rRNA from 1 species